rnacentral:rRNA from 1 species
UACAGAGGGUGCGAGCGUUAAUCGGAAUUACUGGGCGUAAAGCGUGCGUAGACGGUUAUUUAAGUCGAGUGUGAAAGCCCCCGGCUCAACUGGGGAGGGUCACUCGAUACUGAUCGACUUGAAGGCAGGAGAGGGAAGCGGAAUUCCCGGUGUAGUGGUGAAAUGCGUAGAUAUCGGGAGGAACACCAGUGGCGAAGGCGGCUUCCUGGCCUGUUCUUGACGCUGAGGCGCGAAAGCUAGGGGAGCAAACGGG